CUCAGUUAAUAAACUCGACCAGCU
rnacentral:siRNA from 1 species